rnacentral:lncRNA from 1 species
CUCGGCUCACUUCCUGUUACUAUUUCAACAAUUUUUAUGGGAGAAAAAAAUGUACAUAUUUUAUUUCUUGGAAAAAUGAAUUGAAGUACUGAAUUAAAUUAUCAGAGGGGCCAAUUUAAAGAGACGCAUUGGUUUUUGAGACAAGCUCAUAGCUCUGUGGUCCGUUUCAGCAUUGACUUUACUGUGUGACCUUGAGCAAAUGAUUAAUUACUCUGUGCCUCAGUUUCUCCAUCUACAAAAUGGGGAUAAUGAUACCAACCAUUGCCUACCUCAUAGGGAUGUUAUGGGGACAAUUGAGACAAUAUAGAUAAAUACAAAUGCUUUGAACUCUGAAAGAAAGGUGCUAUAUAAAUUGAAAUUGUGUUGUUUUUGAUGAUCCAAUUGUUAUGUUUAGAGUUUAAAUAAUAGCAAUACUGUUAGUCAUGUUAAGAAUAAGUUUCAAUUUGAUGUAUAUUUACAAUUCUCUUCUGUGGCCAGAUAGCGAUCAUCAUCCAGUAAUGGUACUGAAAUUGGUAUUUGUUUUCUGUGUGUUUCUGCCCAUAGUAUUUCUAUUCUGAAUGUUCCCAAAAGGCUGGAGUUUAACUUGUCAUAUCUUGUAGUUUACAUGUAAUGAACCUUAUUCAAGCUGUAUAUAGAAGUAUAAUUACAUGUAAAUAGCAGGUACGUUGUAAUUCAAGGCACUUAUCAAAUUCUCUUUUGUUCUUUUUUAAUUGCAAUAAAGAUCAGUUUUAUAUAAAA